rnacentral:rRNA from 1 species
GAACGCUGGCGGCGUGCUUAACACAUGCAAGUCGAGCGAAGCACCCUGACGGAUUUCUUUGGAUUGAAGCCUUGGUGACUGAGCGGCGGACGGGUGAGUAACGCGUGGGUAACCUGCCUCAUACAGGGGGAUAACAGUUGGAAACGGCUGCUAAUACCGCAUAAGCGCACAGUACCGCAUGGUACGGUGUGAAAAACUCCGGUGGUAUGAGAUGGACCCGCGUCUGAUUAGGUAGUUGGUGGGGUAACGGCCUACCAAGCCGACGAUCAGUAGCCGACCUGAGAGGGUGACCGGCCACAUUGGGACUGAGACACGGCCCAAACUCCUACGGGAGGCAGCAGUGGGGAAUAUUGCACAAUGGGGGAAACCCUGAUGCAGCGACGCCGCGUGAGCGAUGAAGUAUUUCGGUAUGUAAAGCUCUAUCAGCAGGGAAGAAAAUGACGGUACCUGACUAAGAAGCCCCGGCUAACUACGUGCCAGCAGCCGCGGUAAUACGUAGGGGGCAAGCGUUAUCCGGAUUUACUGGGUGUAAAGGGAGCGUAGACGGCAUGGCAAGCCAGAUGUGAAAGCCCGGGGCUCAACCCCGGGACUGCAUUUGGAACUGUCAGGCUAGAGUGUCGGAGAGGAAAGCGGAAUUCCUAGUGUAGCGGUGAAAUGCGUAGAUAUUAGGAGGAACACCAGUGGCGAAGGCGGCUUUCUGGACGAUGAC